AACUACGGCCAUACAUACCAAAAAGCACCGGAUCCCGUCCGAUCUCCGAAGUUAAGCUGGUAAUGGCAUCGUCAGUACUGCGGUGGGAGACCACGCGGGAAUACGGUGUGCUGUAGUUU
rfam:Rhizoclosmatium globosum strain JEL800 BCR33scaffold_275, whole genome shotgun sequence.